rnacentral:rRNA from 1 species
CAUAUCAAUAAGCGGAGGAAAAGAAACUAACAAGGAUUCCCCUAGUAACUGCGAGUGAAGCGGGAAAAGCUCAAAUUUAAAAUCUGUCAGUCUUUGGCUGUCCGAGUUGUAAUCUAGAGAAGCGUUAUCCGCGCUGGACCGUGUACAAGUCUCCUGGAAUGGAGCGUCAUAGAGGGUGAGAAUCCCGUCUUUGACACGGACUGCCAGGGCUUUGUGAUGCGCUCUCAAAGAGUCGAGUUGUUUGGGAAUGCAGCUCAAAAUGGGUGGUAAAUUCCAUCUAAAGCUAAAUAUUGGCGAGAGACCGAUAGCGAACAAGUACCGUGAGGGAAAGAUGAAAAGAACUUUGGAAAGAGAGUUAAACAGUACGUGAAAUUGCUGAAAGGGAAACGCUUGAAGUCAGUCGCGUUGUCCAGGGAUCAGCCUUGCUUUUGCUUGGUGUACUUUCUGGUUGACGGGUCAGCAUCAAUUUUUGACUGUUGGAAAAAGAUUGGGGGAAUGUGGCAUCUCCGGAUGUGUUAUAGCCCCUGGUUGCAUACAAUGGUUGGGAUUGAGGAACUCAGCACGCCGCAAGGCCGGGUUUUUAACCACGUACGUGCUUAGGAUGCUGGCAUAAUGGCUUUAAUCGACCCGUCUUGAAACACGGACCAAGGAGUCUAACAUGCCUGCGAGUGUUUGGGUGGAAAACCCAAGCGCGUAAUGAAAGUGAAAGUUGAGAUCCCUGUCGUGGGGAGCAUCGACGCCCGGACCUGACCUUUUGUGACGGUUCCGCGGUAGAGCAUGUAUGUUGGGACCCGAAAGAUGGUGAACUAUGCCUGAAUAGGGUGAAGCCAGAGGAAACUCUGGUGGAGGCUCGUAGCGAUUCUGACGUGCAAAUCGAUCGUCAAAUUUGGGUAUAGGGGCGAAAGACUAAUCGAACCAUCUAGUAGCUGGUUCCUGCC